rnacentral:rRNA from 1 species
AUUGAACGCUGGCGGCAUGCCUAACACAUGCAAGUCGAACGGUAACGGGCCUUCGGGUGCCGCCGAGUGGCGGACGGGUGCGUACUACAUCGGAACGUGCCCGAUCGUGGGGUAUAGCGAGGCGAAAGCUUUGCUAAUACCGCAUACGAUCUCCGACUGAAAGCGGGGGACCGCAAGGGCUUGCGCGGCCGGACCGGCCGGUGGCAGAUUAGGUAGUUGGUGGGAUAAAAGGUUACCAAGCCGACGAUCUGUAGCUGGUCUGAGAGGAUGAUCAGCCACACUGGGACUGAGACACGGCCCAGACUCCUACGGGAGGCAGCAGUGGGGAAUUUUGGACAAUGGGCGCAAGCCUGAUCCAGCCAUGCCGCGUGCAGGAUGAAGGCCUUCGGGUUGUAAACUGCUUUUGUACGGAACGAAAAGCCUUCUUUUAAUACAGGAGGGUCAUGACGGUACCGUAAGAAUAAGCACCGGCUAACUACGUG